rnacentral:rRNA from 1 species
GUGUCAGCAGCCGCGGUAAUACGUAGGAGACAAGCGUUGUCCGGAAUUACUGGGUGUAAAGCGCGUGUAGGUGGUAGGCCAAGUCUGCUGUGAAAUCGCCCGGCUCAACUGGGCGCGGUCGGUGGAAACUGGUCAACUGGAGGACGGUAGAGGCGAGUGGAAUUCCCGGUGUAGUGGUGAAAUGCGUAGAGAUCGGGAGGAACACCAGUGGCGAAGGCGGCUCGCUGGGCCGGUCCUGACACUGAGACGCGAAGGCGUGGGGAGCGAACGGGAUUAGAUACCCCCGUAGUCC